UACGGAGGAUGCAAGCGUUAUCCGGAAUGGUUGGGCGUAAAGCGUCCGCAGGUGGCAAUGUAAGUCUGCUGUCAAAGCGUCUGGCUCAACCAGAUAAAGGCAGUGGAAACUACAUAGCUAGAGUAAGGUAGGGGUAGAGGGAAUUCCUGGUGUAGCGGUGAAAUGCGUAGAGAUCAGGAAGAACACCGGUGGCGAAAGCGCUCUGCUGGACCUUAACUGACACUGAGGGACGAAAGCUAGGGGAGCGAAUGGG
rnacentral:rRNA from 1 species